UACGAAGGGGGCUAGCGUUGUUCGGAAUCACUGGGCGUAAAGGGCGCGUAGGCGGCUUUAUAAGUCGGGGGUGAAAGCCUGUGGCUCAACCACAGAACUGCCUUCGAUACUGGCGAUCUUGAGUCCGGAAGAGGUUGGUGGAACAGCUAGUGUAGAGGUGAAAUUCGUAGAUAUUAGCUAGAACACCAGUGGCGAAGGCGGCCAACUGGUCCGGAACUGACGCUGAGGUGCGAAAGCGUGGGGAGCAAACAGG
rnacentral:rRNA from 1 species